rnacentral:tRNA from 1 species
UGCAUCGGCUGGGAAUCGAACCCAGGCCGCCCGCGUGGCAGGCGAGCAUUCUACCACUAAGCCACCGAUGC